CCCGCCUCGCCUUGUCCCCUCGCACAGCGGGACUGGCAGGCUGCAGCACCUGUGUGCCUCCUUCCCCAGCUAGCACUUCUCGGUGCUGCACGCUUUGCAGUGAGCAGUGAGAGGUUAUUUGGUGAGCAUCAGUCAGAACUAGAAGUCAAGACUGGACAGGUCUGAGGAAGUGCGGUGCUCUGUCCGCACAGUGCUGUAAGGCUUCACCAGUCAGGGCUCGGUGUGCGCCUUGUCCAUGAUCGCCACUGAGCUUUCGAGAACUUCAGCUGCACACAGACGCCCCAGCUUCCAGCCCUCAUCGCCUUUUAGUUCUCUCUAUGACUGCCACACAAGCACAUCAUGUACAACACCAUGUGGAUGAUGUACUUCUCGCUCUCUGCCCCCUUGAUGCGGACUCUGCUGCCGAAUGUAUCUGUCUCCACGAUGAGCUUGGCUGUGAGCAUCGAAAGAAAAGAGACCUUAGUCUGUGGCUCAGGGGUGGGCAAGGCUUCUCCCCAAACUGUCUGCGCUUCGAAGUCAGAUCAAAGGGCUGAAUACCAGUCACUUGGACCAAGACAGAGCUAGACCCAGCUCAGCAUGUAUCAGGGACCAAUAUCCUAGACAGAAGGCACCAGCCUGUAAAGGUCAGGAGUUGCAAGGCCUCUAGGAGAAUAAGAACAUCUUUGCAUCCUACC